CUUGCCUUUCAAUUUGAAGGUAUCAAUCACGCAGUUAGCAAUAAAAGAAAAAUUCUAGAAUAGUACACUAAAUAAUCUCCCAUGGUUGGCCGCUUAUUUUUUAUUACAUAUAAGUCCUUUAAGUAUUAAAAAUACAUUUUAACCUACAAAUGUUUCAAUUACAUCACAAAUUAAUCGGGUUGCAUCCGAAACUCAUGAUGUUUUUCGGAUUGAUGACAUGUCUUCAUGAAAAGUAGCCACGUGUCCUAAUGAACCGGCCAGCAAAUUCUUAAAAAAACUAAAAAAAACUAAAAAGAACUAAAAAAAAAAAAACCAGAUUGAGAAGGAACGAAAAAGAUGGGGGGAGGGGGGUGGUGGGCUGGUGGCUCCCGGCGCCAACAUUACCAUGCGAAAGGAAUGAGUUCUUGGUGUGCUUUAAAGAUUGAUCUAAUGAAGGCGUUUGAUUCUCUCGAUUGGAAGUUCUUGGAGAAUGUUCUCAAGGCUGCUGGUUUCCCGACUAAUUUUGUCAAAUGGAUUGUUUCUUGUAUAAAUUCUCCGUGGUUUUUCAGUGGCGAUUAAUGGAUCCCUUGCAGGUUAUUUUAGAGGGGGUAAGGGAGUUAGGCAGGGGGAUCCAAUCUCUCCCUAUCUAUUUGUUUUAGCCAAGGAGGUGUGUUAUCUCGGCUCUUGGACUCAGGCUGCUGCUUAUGGUAUUUUGGUAGAUUGGGUUUCCAUCCAUAAUGUUGAGGCAUGCAGCUGACCCAUCUACGCUUCGCUGUUGGCUUAAUGGUUUUUACUGAUGGAAAGUUAGUUCUAUUGAAGCGGUGGUUGAGGUGCUAGGUGAAUUUUUAUAAACUUCCGGGUCUGAAGUUGAACGCUGAUGAGACUGAAUUCUUCUGUGCUGGCCUAAGUGAAUAUCAAGUUCAGGAUAUUCUUGAUUUAAAUUGGGUUCUCUUCCCAUCAAAAUUACUUGGGGCUCCCGUUGGCCUCUGGUAGAGUAUCCACAGAGGACUGUAUGGCUUUAACUGAUAAGAUCACAGAUGGCUAAUGCUGGCUCUCGGUGGUUUGCCUGGAUUAACAAAUAUGUGCUGGAAGAUAGGAGCAUGCAUCUGGUUUGUGAAGGCCCAGAGUAAUAGCUCUUGGGGGUGACGAAAGCUCUUGAAGUUGAGGGAGAAGGCUAAGCCCCCGAUAACAUACAGGGUAGGGGAUGGUCAACAUAUAUCCUUUUGGCAUGACAAAUGCUAUGCCCAUGGUCCUUUGAUUGAACUUUGUGAUCGAAGCACUUACUUCUGUCUUUCAAAAUGGUCGAUGGGUCCGGCCCAGAGAUCCUCAAGCUCUGAAUAUACAGAGUACAGUGGUCUUCUGUUGCU